AUAAUCUGAAUAUGCUGUAGAAGUGAACUGGACAGGAGUGCCUACUAAUGAGCGUCAGAGGAGAUGGAGAAGACUCUGCAGAAAAACUAGUACUGCACCAUCAGAAAGGAACUCCGUAGCAGCAACUGGACAGAUGGUAGCGCAAAGAGAGCUUCAGAGCCCAAUAUACUCACUUUGAGCAAUCUCAGCCAAUCAGAACAUCCUGUGGCGGCAGUCUCCAAUGACAUGCAAUGUUAAAGGUCAGGCAGAGUGAUAUUCAGGAUGAUGUGAACCCUGCAAAAGUGGCAUCUCGGUGAAAGGUCAACUGGGCGACCUCACGUUGUCUCCUCACGUUUGGACACACAAACAUCAACAUACAUCUUACCUCUUCUAAUUGUUCUAACUGUUCCUUGAGAAAACAUGCAGCCUGGUGGUUUUUAUACUAAAUGUUGUAAUAGAACUUGUAAUAAUGCCAAUUUUGUUUGGCUUUGGAGAGUUGUAUUGUUUGGUAAUGUAAUAAAACAUGUUCCUGCCAUUUAAGAGCCAAAA